rnacentral:rRNA from 1 species
AGUGGGGAAUAUUGGACAAUGGGCGAAAGCCUGAUCCAGCAAUGCCGCGUGAGUGAUGAAGGCCUUAGGGUUGUAAAGCUCUUUUACCCGGGAUGAUAAUGACAGUACCGGGAGAAUAAGCUCCGGCUAACUCCGUGCCAGCAGCCGCGGUAAUACGGAGGGAGCUAGCGUUAUUCGGAAUUACUGGGCGUAAAGCGCACGUAGGCGGCUUUGUAAGUAAGAGGUGAAAGCCUGGUGCUCAACACCAGAACUGCCUUUUAGACUGCAUCGCUUGAAUCCAGGAGAGGUGAGUGGAAUUCCGAGUGUAGAGGUGAAAUUCGUAGAUAUUCGGAAGAACACCAGUGGCGAAGGCGGCUCACUGGACUGGUAUUGACGCUGAGGUGCGAAAGCGUGGGGAGCAAA